CCAGUCAAGAUGAAAAACUUCUUCUAAUGGAAUCCAGCUUGAAAGCUACUCAAGAGCAGCUAACUGAGCAAAUAGCAGAAACAGUUCGCCAAGAACAGAACAGUAGGAAACCCCAGGCAGAGCUGAAGACAGUGACAGAAAGGAUUAUUGCCUCCGAAGAAGAAAAAAAUGAUUGCAAGUUCCCAUAGGUGUCAUCCUUAUGCCAUUCUCUCUUUGGAAAGCUUCUAAAUUCAUCAUCAUGUUCAUCACACGAGUAGCAUUAUGUCUUGGGAUGUUCUGACAAGACAGACAAUUUUGGAGAAGGUGUGCUGGACACAGUUGUAGUUCUCAACAAUUGGAUGCAUCUGCUUCCUAUUCGGAACGUGGUUCUACUUACAAUCUAAUUGUGCUACCCUACAGUGCUCUAUUAUUUUCUGAGUCUGAGCCUACAUUUUAGGCCAAUCAUCGAAGAGGACAGGAAGACUUGGAAAUUGAAGGCUACACGUAGACAUACUCGUCUGGUUUCAUAUAUAUAUAUGUCUGUGGGGCUGCUCCAUAUUGUGUAAGCAUGCCGUCCUAUUCUUUAGGCUUGUCCUCACAAUUUCCUGGGAUAGGUCCGAAUUAUUGUCUCCAUAUGAGGUGUGAUAUGUGUCAUCUAAUGAUAAAUGGUUGAAUGAUUUAAGUACUUAUUUUGGCUUCAAACUGACUUUGCUCCUUUCACUGGGUCUCAGGCUAUAUAGUUAGGAUAUUUUGUCCAGAUGUAUAGAUGGAGACUUUAAAGAAAACAACAAAAAAAAAUCAUUCAGACGCUACUAAGUUUAACUACAAAAAUAUCACUGUGAGUAGUGAUUAAAUGUGUAUCCACGAUGUACUGUAAUAAAUGAGAUAACAAUGUAAAGCAACUAUUACAUAUGUAAAAGCUAAAUUCAAGUUCGGAUCUCAUCUUUUCCACAUUGACUGAGUAUAUGGAAGCUUUGUUGUAAUGUCAUCCCAUUCCCUAGAAAACCAUCAAUUUAGUAACAUACUCAUGUAUAUAUGCCAUCAUCACUUGGAGUUAGGUGUACCUGAACUCUGGAAGCAGCUGUAUAUUUAAGUUUGGUGCAUACAGCUGAAGUCUUUUGAGUUUCUUACUCUUCUCUCUAGAGAUCAAAUUGUUAAUUAGGAACUUACCCAAUCACUUCUGCUUAGCAUAGGAAAACCUUACUGCAAAGGCUAGGACAAAAGAUGGAUCCUACCUCACAACCAAAUUAAUGCGUAUUCAUCUUAAGGUAUAAGGCAUAAAAUCCAAGAUUAUAAAAACUUCAAAAAUAUAUUUUAAAUAUCCACUAGAAAAUACUCAAGUUCAAGAUAAACUUGUUGGCUUGAGGAUCAUAGAGAAACAUGUAGAAUCUGAGAUGAAACAAGUUAUGGUUUUCUAUGUCCUAAAAGGCAGGGCCAAGAACAUGCUAUCAGGCUUCAUGUGAUUUGCAAUAACAUUGGUUUUUGGAAGAACCAAAAACUUUAUGCAGUAAUGAUUAAUUAUAAAAAAUUAUUUUUAAUUGGGAGGAAUAUUAAUGUAGAAGUAAAACAAAAUUAUAAGUUGAUAUCAACAAAAUAAUUUGUAUUAUCUUUUCUAUACAUCUUUGAAAUUACUGAUACAUUUGUAAGUCAGAGAUAGACCUAAUUCAGGGAACCUUACAUUAAUUUCUGGGAUCAAAGAGUGUCUAAGGAUUAUGCAAGCAGAAUAGUAUGCCAAUAUCUUCUUCUGAUACAGGUGGCUAUCAAAUUGAAGAUUUGUUUUAUGUUGGUUUCUAUUUAUUUUACUUUGCUUACAAUUCCUAUAUAAAUGUAAAUAUACCAAAAUACAUGUAAAGUCCUAUCUAAAACCAGUAACUUUCUGAAUUAAAAACAUAGUUAUAAUAAUUAGUUAUAAAAAUAAUAUUUAUUGUCAACAAUCGCAUACUAAGUAGUUCUGCAAAUUCUUAUUUCUAGAACAAAACAAUCACUCACUCCUUUUUCUUACAUUGUCCUGAGAUUCUGCUUUAAAGUGUCCCAAACCACCCAGGCUUGAAGAGCAACCAAUGUCUGUAGGAAUUUUUGACAGGCGAUAUACUUCCCUAAAUCAUAAAUCUCAUCUAUGGAAUAAAGUGGUUCAACUAGAUCACUUCUAACAUCAGAUCCCUGAGGCAUGAUCUGGCUCUAGGUCCAUUAAAGGACUUUCUUUCCUGUGAUUACUGCGUAUAUUCAUACUCGGUUGUUAUUUUUUAUCCAGUAGAAAAUUUUAUUUGGUAUUCAAACACAAAAUUUCAUUUGGAAAUGAUAAUGUGUGUAUGCAUGUAAGUGUGUGCAUAUGAUCAAACAAAACCAUAUAAAUGUCUCCCCGGAAGAUCAAGAGUAAAAUGAAUCUCAUCUAUUGCAAACUUCCAACACAGAAUCCAGUAUUUCCUCACUCUUACACUUCUACUUUGGACAGCAAUACCUAUGAAGGCUAGACAGAUCUCAUUUAUUAAUUAUUCACCUCUAACUCAUAUCUCAAACUUCAUCCACAUACCCUUUAUCGUUUCCCAUAACACUUCCUAAAACCUACGAUUAGUCUUUGAAAUAUCUAUUAAAGGUCAUCAGUUUCCAAAGUAAUUGUGAUUUAAUUUCCCCCAUUUUUUAAAAACACAUUUUUUCAUUGAUUUCAGAGAGGAAGGGAGAG